CACCUGGUGGCGAGUGGCGAACGGGUGAGUAAUACAUCGGAACAUGUCCUGUAGUGGGGGAUAGCCCGGCGAAAGCCGGAUUAAUACCGCAUACGAUCUACGGAUGAAAGCGGGGGACCUUCGGACCUCGCGCUAUAGGGUUGGCCGAUGGCUGAUUAGCUAGUUGGUGGGGUAAAGGCCUACCAAGGCGACGAUCAGUAGCUGGUCUGAGAGGACGACCAGCCACACUGGGACUGAGACACGGCCCAGACUCCUACGGGAGGCAGCAGUGGGGAAUUUUGGACAAUGGGCGAAAGCCUGAUCCAGCAAUGCCGCGUGUGUGAAGAAGGCCUUCGGGUUGUAAAGCACUUUUGUCCGGAAAGAAAUCCUUGGCUCUAAUACAGUCGGGGGAUGACGGUACCGGAAGAAUAAGCACCGGCUAACUACGUGCCAGCAGCCGCGGUAAUACGUAGGGUGCGAGCGUUAAUCGGAAUUACUGGGCGUAAAGCGUGCGCAGGCGGUUUGCUAAGACCGAUGUGAAAUCCCCGGGCUCAACCUGGGAACUGCAUUGGUGACUGGCAGGCUAGAGUAUGGCAGAGGGGGGUAGAAUUCCACGUGUAGCAGUGAAAUGCGUAGAGAUGUGGAGGAAUACCGAUGGCGAAGGCAGCCCCCUGGGCCAAUACUGACGCUCAUGCACGAAAGCGUG
rnacentral:rRNA from 1 species